rnacentral:sRNA from 1 species
CCUGCGUUCAGGUUCGAGCCGAGCGGAGCGAGACAGCAACGCGCCAGCGUUGACCCGAAGGGCGAGGCCAGCGGCCGAGUCAUCCCGCACGACCCACCA